AGAGUUUGAUCCUGGCUCAGGACGAACGCUGGCGGCACGCUUAACACAUGCAAGUCGAACGAGAGAAGAGGAGCUUGCUUUUCUGAUCUAGUGGCGGACGGGUGAGUAACACGUGAGCAAUCUGCCUUUCAGAGGGGGAUACCGAUCGGAAACGAUCGUUAAUACCGCAUAACAUAAUUGAACCGCAUGAUUUGAUUAUCAAAGAUUUAUCGCUGAAAGAUGAGCUCGCGUCUGAUUAGCUAGUUGGUAAGGUAACGGCUUACCAAGGCGACGAUCAGUAGCCGGACUGAGAGGUUGAUCGGCCACAUUGGGACUGAGACACGGCCCAGACUCCUACGGGAGGCAGCAGUGGGGAAUAUUGCACAAUGGAGGAAACUCUGAUGCAGCGAUGCCGCGUGAGGGAAGAAGGUUUUAGGAUUGUAAACCUCUGUCUUCAGGGACGAAAAAAGACGGUACCCGAGGAGGAAGCUCCGGCUAACUACGUGCCGGCAGCCGCGGUAAUACGUAGGGAGCGAGCGUUGUCCGGAAUUACUGGGUGUAAAGGGAGCGUAGGCGGGAUCGCAAGUCAGAUGUGAAAACUAUGGGCUUAACCCAUAAACUGCAUUUGAAACUGUGGUUCUUGAGUGAAGUAGAGGUAAGCGGAAUUCCUAGUGUAGCGGUGAAAUGCGUAGAUAUUAGGAGGAACAUCAGUGGCGAAGGCGGCUUACUGGGCUUUAACUGACGCUGAGGCUCGAAAGCGUGGGGAGCAAACAGGAUUAGAUACCCUGGUAGUCCACGCCGUAAACGAUGAUUACUAGGUGUGGGGGGACUGACCCCUUCCGUGCCGCAGCAAACGCAAUAAGUAAUCCACCUGGGGAGUACGACCGCAAGGUUGAAACUCAAAGGAAUUGACGGGGGCCCGCACAAGCAGUGGAGUAUGUGGAUUAAUUCGAAGCAACGCGAAGAACCUUACCAGGUCUUGACAUCGUAUGCAUAGCUCAGAGAUGAGUGAAAUCUCUUCGGAGACAUAUAGACAGGUGGUGCAUGGUUGUCGUCAGCUCGUGUCGUGAGAUGUUGGGUUAAGUCCCGCAACGAGCGCAACCCUUACUGUUAGUUGCUACGCAAGAGCACUCUAGCAGGACUGCCGUUGACAAAACGGAGGAAGGUGGGGAUGACGUCAAAUCAUCAUGCCCCUUAUGACCUGGGCCUCACACGUACUACAAUGGCUGUCAACAGAGGGAAGCAAAGCCGCGAGGUGGAGCGAACCCCUAAAAGCAGUCUUAGUUCGGAUUGUAGGCUGCAACCCGCCUACAUGAAGUCGGAAUUGCUAGUAAUCGCAGAUCAGCAUGCUGCGGUGAAUACGUUCCCGGGCCUUGUACACACCGCCCGUCACGCCAUGGGAGUCGGUAACACCCGAAGCCUGUAGUCUAACCGCAAGGAGGACGCAGUCGAAGGUGGGAUUGAUGACUGGGGUGAAGUCGUAACAAGGUA
rnacentral:rRNA from 1 species